GGUAAGGAGGCCGAAGUGGUAGGCGAUGAAUUGUAAUUUUACUAUAGGUGGGUUUGAUUCCCUCUCUUAUUU
rnacentral:tRNA from 1 species